GAAACAUCUUCGGGUUGUGAGGUUAAGCGACUAAGCGUACACGGUGGAUGCCCUGGCAGUCAGAGGCGAUGAAGGACGUGCUAAUCUGCGAUAAGCGUCGGUAAGGUGAUAUGAACCGUUAUAACCGGCGAUUUCCGAAUGGGGAAACCCAGUGUGAUUCGUCACACUAUCAUUAACUGAAUCCAUAGGUUAAUGAGGCGAACCGGGGGAACUGAAACAUCUAAGUACCCCGAGGAAAAGAAAUCAACCGAGAUUCCCCCAGUAGCGGCGAGCGAACGGGGAGGAGCCCAGAGCCUGAAUCAGUGUGUGUGUUAGUGGAAGCGUCUGGAAAGGCGCGCGAUACAGGGUGACAGCCCCGUACACAAAAAUGCACAUGCUGUGAGCUCGAUGAGUAGGGCGGGACACGUGGUAUCCUGUCUGAAUAUGGGGGGACCAUCCUCCAAGGCUAAAUACUCCUGACUGACCGAUAGUGAACCAGUACCGUGAGGGAAAGGCGAAAAGAACCCCGGCGAGGGGAGUGAAAAAGAACCUGAAACCGUGUACGUACAAGCAGUGGGAGCACGCUUAGGCGUGUGACUGCGUACCUUUUGUAUAAUGGGUCAGCGACUUAUAUUCUGUAGCAAGGUUAACCGAAUAGGGGAGCCGAAGGGAAACCGAGUCUUAACUGGGCGUUAAGUUGCAGGGUAUAGACCCGAAACCCGGUGAUCUAGCCAUGGGCAGGUUGAAGGUUGGGUAACACUAACUGGAGGACCGAACCGACUAAUGUUGAAAAAUUAGCGGAUGACUUGUGGCUGGGGGUGAAAGGCCAAUCAAACCGGGAGAUAGCUGGUUCUCCCCGAAAGCUAUUUAGGUAGCGCCUCGUGAAUUCAUCUCCGGGGGUAGAGCACUGUUUCGGCAAGGGGGUCAUCCCGACUUACCAACCCGAUGCAAACUGCGAAUACCGGAGAAUGUUAUCACGGGAGACACACGGCGGGUGCUAACGUCCGUCGUGAAGAGGGAAACAACCCAGACCGCCAGCUAAGGUCCCAAAGUCAUGGUUAAGUGGGAAACGAUGUGGGAAGGCCCAGACAGCCAGGAUGUUGGCUUAGAAGCAGCCAUCAUUUAAAGAAAGCGUAAUAGCUCACUGGUCGAGUCGGCCUGCGCGGAAGAUGUAACGGGGCUAAACCAUGCACCGAAGCUGCGGCAGCGACGCUUAUGCGUUGUUGGGUAGGGGAGCGUUCUGUAAGCCUGUGAAGGUGUACUGUGAGGUAUGCUGGAGGUAUCAGAAGUGCGAAUGCUGACAUAAGUAACGAUAAAGCGGGUGAAAAGCCCGCUCGCCGGAAGACCAAGGGUUCCUGUCCAACGUUAAUCGGGGCAGGGUGAGUCGACCCCUAAGGCGAGGCCGAAAGGCGUAGUCGAUGGGAAACAGGUUAAUAUUCCUGUACUUGGUGUUACUGCGAAGGGGGGACGGAGAAGGCUAUGUUGGCCGGGCGACGGUUGUCCCGGUUUAAGCGUGUAGGCUGGUUUUCCAGGCAAAUCCGGAAAAUCAAGGCUGAGGCGUGAUGACGAGGCACUACGGUGCUGAAGCAACAAAUGCCCUGCUUCCAGGAAAAGCCUCUAAGCAUCAGGUAACAUCAAAUCGUACCCCAAACCGACACAGGUGGUCAGGUAGAGAAUACCAAGGCGCUUGAGAGAACUCGGGUGAAGGAACUAGGCAAAAUGGUGCCGUAACUUCGGGAGAAGGCACGCUGAUAUGUAGGUGAAGUCCCUCGCGGAUGGAGCUGAAAUCAGUCGAAGAUACCAGCUGGCUGCAACUGUUUAUUAAAAACACAGCACUGUGCAAACACGAAAGUGGACGUAUACGGUGUGACGCCUGCCCGGUGCCGGAAGGUUAAUUGAUGGGGUCAGCGCAAGCGAAGCUCUUGAUCGAAGCCCCGGUAAACGGCGGCCGUAACUAUAACGGUCCUAAGGUAGCGAAAUUCCUUGUCGGGUAAGUUCCGACCUGCACGAAUGGCGUAAUGAUGGCCAGGCUGUCUCCACCCGAGACUCAGUGAAAUUGAACUCGCUGUGAAGAUGCAGUGUACCCGCGGCAAGACGGAAAGACCCCGUGAACCUUUACUAUAGCUUGACACUGAACAUUGAGCCUUGAUGUGUAGGAUAGGUGGGAGGCUUUGAAGUGUGGACGCCAGUCUGCAUGGAGCCGACCUUGAAAUACCACCCUUUAAUGUUUGAUGUUCUAACGUGGACCCGUAAUCCGGGUUGCGGACAGUGUCUGGUGGGUAGUUUGACUGGGGCGGUCUCCUCCUAAAGAGUAACGGAGGAGCACGAAGGUUGGCUAAUCCUGGUCGGACAUCAGGAGGUUAGUGCAAUGGCAUAAGCCAGCUUGACUGCGAGCGUGACGGCGCGAGCAGGUGCGAAAGCAGGUCAUAGUGAUCCGGUGGUUCUGAAUGGAAGGGCCAUCGCUCAACGGAUAAAAGGUACUCCGGGGAUAACAGGCUGAUACCGCCCAAGAGUUCAUAUCGACGGCGGUGUUUGGCACCUCGAUGUCGGCUCAUCACAUCCUGGGGCUGAAGUAGGUCCCAAGGGUAUGGCUGUUCGCCAUUUAAAGUGGUACGCGAGCUGGGUUUAGAACGUCGUGAGACAGUUCGGUCCCUAUCUGCCGUGGGCGCUGGAGAACUGAGGGGGGCUGCUCCUAGUACGAGAGGACCGGAGUGGACGCAUCACUGGUGUUCGGGUUGUCAUGCCAAUGGCACUGCCCGGUAGCUAAAUGCGGAAGAGAUAAGUGCUGAAAGCAUCUAAGCACGAAACUUGCCCCGAGAUGAGUUCUCCCUGACCCUUUAAGGGUCCUGAAGGAACGUUGAAGACGACGACGUUGAUAGGCCGGGUGUGUAAGCGCAGCGAUGCGUUGAGCUAACCGGUACUAAUGAACCGUGAGGCUUAACCUU
rnacentral:rRNA from 1 species